rnacentral:misc_RNA from 1 species
GAUGAAGAACGCAGCGAAAUGCGAUAAGUAAUGUGAAUUGCAGAAUUCAGUGAAUCAUCGAAUCUUUGAACGCACAUUGCGCCCGCCAGUAUUCUGGCGGGCAUGCCUGUUCGAGCGUCAUUUCAACCAUCAAGCCCCAGGCUUGUGUUGGAGCCCUGCGGCUGCCGCAGCCUCCCAAAACCAGUGGCGGGCUCGCUAUCACACCGAGUGCAGUAGUUUACUCUUCGCUCAGGGCGUGUGGCGGGUGCUAGCCGUAAAACCCCCAACUUGUCAAGGUUGACCUCGGAUCAGGUAGGAAUACCCGCUGAACUUAAGCAUAUCAAUAAGCGGAGGA